GAGAUGAGUUCUCCCUGACCCUUUAAGGGUCCUGAAGGAACGUUGAAGACGACGACGUUGAUAGGCCGGGUGUGUAAGCGCAGCGAUGCGUUGAGCUAACCGGUACUAAUGAACCGUGAGGCUUAACCUUACAACGCCGAAG
rnacentral:rRNA from 2 species